UGGGGAAUAUUGCACAAUGGGCGCAAGCCUGAUGCAGCCAUGCCGCGUGAGUGAAGAAGGCCUUAGGGUUGUAAAACUCUUUCACCGGUGAAGAUAAUGACGGUAGCCGGAGAAGAAGCCCCGGCCAACUCCGUGCCAGCAGCCGCGGUAAUACGGAGGGGGCUAGCGUUGUUCGGAAUUACUGGGCGUAAAGCGCGCGUAGGCGGGCUGGUCAGUUGGGGGUGAAAUCCCGGGGCUUAACCUCGGAACUGCCCUCAAUACUACCAGUCUAGAGAUCGAGAGAGGUAAGUGGAAUUCCUAGUGUAGAGGUGAAAUUCGUAGAUAUUAGGAAGAACACCAGUGGCGAAGGCGGCUUACUGGCUCGAUACUGACGCUGAGGCGCGAAAGCGUGGGGAGCAAACAGGAUUAGAUACCCCCGUAGUCC
rnacentral:rRNA from 1 species